GCCCAGCAGCCAGGGGUGGACUUGUAGCCCAUGAUGCGGGGACCCCCUUGCAAGUUCAAGGCGUCCUCUGUGGAAUGCAUGUGCAAAAUUCCCAGGCAGUUUCAAGAAACUAAACAUUACUGUGUGUCCUCAUCCACCUUAUUCACCGGAUCUGGCACCAUGUGACUUUUGGCUCUUCCCUCAAGACAAAAUGGCCAUGAAAGGGAAGCUCUCACAAAAGAGGACUCCAGAGCUGCUUCAGACAGUGGCAAGAACCAUGGGACAAGUGUGUUCACACCAAGGGGAGUAUUUUUAAAAUUCAAACAUUCACCACACCCAUAUGUCAUAUUGAGAGCCGCUGUGUCCCCUCCGGAAUGCUCAGGUCCUGGGGACCC
rnacentral:lncRNA from 1 species